ncrna:unclassified sequences IMES-1 RNA motif
UCCGAGCCGAAAACAACUCGAGACGAAAGAAAGCAGAGAGAGGAUGAUUAGAGUACGAAGGGUGAAAGCUCUAGAAAAAAAAGGUACCAAAAAAGUUUUCUAGACCACCAAGAUCUAAAAAGAAGAGUAGAUCAAGGAGCCUGAAAGUCUUCAAGUCAGGACACUUUCGAACUCGAAACUAAA